GUUAUAUCUUUGUUUACUAAUCACCACUAAACACUAAAAGAAGAGGAAUUUGUCGCUUUAUUGUGUCUGUAGUCUUCGACUGGUAAAUGGCUGCAUAGAAACCAUCACAAUGCCCCCCCAAGAGGUGCAGGUUUUUUCUGCUUGGUGGCUGAUGCUCAUACCCAGAGGGAGCUGCUUGGAGCAACCCGAAAAUGAGAAGGUUUACCAGGUGGUCUCCAAGCUGAUGGCUGCUCAGGGGUCCAACGGACUUCUAAACAAUGUAGAAAGAAACUUUUUAAAAUACUGAAAUACUAGUCACUACUGGACCAUCAAAGACUGAAAAGGCUGGAGUGGGUCCAACUGGAAGGACUGGAAGUUCGUCAAAUGGACACUUUCCAGGCAAUUCGGCCACUAGAUGUUUUGAUAGCUGAUGAAUCCACCUCCGUCAUGGACCCGAGCUCCUCUCCUCCGCCCCAGCUGCAGCUACCAAACCGACUCCAGUACCAUGUGCAGCAUCGACCACGGCGGACGCUUCCGAGCUGACAGCAACGGUCCCAUUCCCUAAUUUGGUUUGAAUGUAUUUUUGCACAGUGUACAGGUCUAAGGAAUUUGCUCCUGACUUUAAUAAAUCAUUCAGUGAACGUUA